rnacentral:rRNA from 1 species
CCUACGGGAGGCUGCAGUGAGGAAUAUUGGUCAAUGGGCGGGAGCCUGAACCAGCCAAGUCGCGUGAGGGAAGACGGUCCUAUGGAUUGUAAACCUCUUUAGGCGGGGAGCAAUGCCGGGCACGUGUGCCCGGAGGGAGAGUACCCGCAGAAUAAGCAUCGGCUAACUCCGUGCCAGCAGCCGCGGUAUUACGGAGGAUGCGAGGGUUAACCGGUUUUUUGGGGUUUAAGGGGUGCGUAGGCGGAUUUUUAAGUCAGCGAUAAAAUGUCCGGGCUCAACCCGGGCCGGCCGUUGAAACUGGGGAUCUUGAGUGGGCGAGAAGUAUGCGGAAUGCGUGGUGUAGCGGUGAAAUGCAUAGAUAUCACGCAGAACUCCGAUUGCGAAGGCAGCAUACCGGCGCCCGACUGACGCUGAGGCACGAAAGCGUGGGGAUCGAACAGGAUUAGAUACCCUUGUAGUC